AGAGAAAAGAAGAAAAAAAGCCCAGCGCCCCGCACGAUCCUGCCUCCUCGAUCUCAUCUCCACCUCCAUCCCGCCGCCACCUCCUGCCCCGCGCCGCCUCGACCGGGACCGCGCCCCUCCACAAACGACGGCGAUGAUGGAGCGCGGCGCCCAGCACCUGGCCGGCAGAUUCGCCGGCUCCCCGCUCCUCGGGGCCAGCCCCUCCCCCGUGCCGGGUCGAGCAUCGGCUUGGAGGCCAACACACGAGCGCGGGUUCGCUCGAUCCGUCCGGGUAGGGCGCCGCCGGCGGUCUUCUUCUCCGGCCAUCCGUCGCCGGCGGCCGUUCUUCCUGCUCCCGUGCCUCUGAUUUGGAUCGAGGUCGCGGUGGUAGUGGUUCGGCGGCGGUGGCGGCGUUGGGAGCAGCGGCGGCGGGUGGUGGGGUCCGGCAGCGGGUGCAGGGGCUAUGUCACGGUGAUGGGGAGCUGCAGAUCUGUGUCCAUGGUCGGACCACCGCGGACAGGGGUUUCUUCCCGGAUUGUUGAUGAAUAUACUUGGGGAUUCAUGAUUCUUGCAUCCCAUGAUGUGGAGAUUCGUUGGGAUUUUGGGCGAGGGAGAUGGGGUGUGAUUUGGGGGGAUCACGCCUCGGAUUCUUGGGGUCGCCGGGGAUGCGGUGAUUGAAGGAGAAGACGGUGGAGGGAGAGAGGGAGGAAGGGAGGAGGAGGGGGAGGCUGCGAUGGGACACGUUGGGGAUGCCCACUGGACGUUGGUGUCCUUCUGAACACAAAUUCAUGGAGUGCCCAACCCGGAUUUCAAAGGGACUUGGCUGGUUUGAUACUACCAAUUCCUUGGGUGCUGAUUUUGAGGGGGGCUUCUAGAUUGAGAUCGAGUGAGAGGGGGUUGACAAGGAGAGAGCAGUCAGGUGGCGGUGGCGGCGGUGACUUGGAGCACAGUCCAGCGACGACGACCGUUCAGGAGCAGGAGCGCAACGGCGGCUGUUCGGGAAUAGGAGUGAGAUAGCGGCUGGGCAUCGCGGGGUUCAGUUGUUGGAGAGGAUAAGGGGGACGGCAGCUGCACUCGGCACCAUGGGACACCCAACGUGGUUGGAGAGGAUAAGGUUGAUGGCUGAUUUCUUUGUUCGCCUUUGUUGUGGUCAAUGGUUUCACAUCCUUCUUAAUCCCUUGCCAUGAGGCAAUAAAUCGCAAAAGAGUAGACACCACCCUAUGCUCCACCUUCCAUGUACAUGUAUUCUUCUUCGGACCCUGAACCGAAGGCUUCUUCCGGUCCUUAUCAAGGUACGGCUGAUAGGUGGUUUCACCGCGGAGCUCCCUCGCCGUCAGUACAGCGAUGCUUGAUCGAUCGUGCCGCAGCUCAUCACCUUGCAUUGCCCUCCCACCACUGCUUCUCUCUGAUCUUGGUCAGAUGUUCUGGUUGAUGUGCAAGGAGAUGAGAGGGCAAGCUAGGGGAAUGGAAUUAGAGAGACGAUUGUAGAGCGGCAUCGUUGUUGUCCCUGUUGCUUUAUUCUUUUCUUACUCAAGUGGUUACUUUACCUUCAUCAGUCCAUCUUCACACUUUUGAUUGUCUCAGCUUAGCUUGCAGUUCCAGCUUAGAUUUGUCAGUUUUAUGGGUUAGCCAGAUUGUUCAAAUAUUUGUUGUCCAAUUUAUUUAUAAUCUAACUGUGCAAAUGUUUGGUUGAUUCACAAUUUUCUCAUCCUUUCACCGCUUGUGUUUAUCAGGUCUGGAGAUAUGAACCAAUCACCCAGAUACCUUUACUAGGCUGAUGCAUAUGGAGCUUGCAAUCAGAUCCAAAAUAUGGAGCUGUCUAACAAAAGCAGACUUUAUGGUUUGAAGAUGACAUGUAUGCAAUGUGUGGUCUGCACUGAUGAGACGUUGGAGGGGCAAGUACUGCACUUGGUUCAGUGCAUAUACAAGAUGGUAGAAAAAAGGGUGUGAUAAUGUAGUUAUAGCUUUGCACGACGAAUAGCAUGAGGUUUGGCCUAUAACUUUGUUCGGUAGGGUUGGGAAAUUCUGAAUGAUUUUCUUGACUGAACAAUAUGUAUCCGUACAAUAAUUGCUCCUUUGUUUGUAUAUAUAUUUGUUUGAUUUGCUCCCCUUCC